GCUUACCUCACUGUACCCACUCAGGCAGCAGGAGAAGUAUCCAGUAGCUGCAGGGCAGUGAUGGGGAUGUGUGUGGGUGAUGGGCGACUCCCCUGGAGAUGAGCCUUAUGAUGACAUCAUUAAGGAGCUGAUGGGGGGAGAAAGCCAGACGGCAGGCUCAGCAGGAGGCCAAGGAGCUCUGGUGACUGGGGAGGAGAAAAGAUGCCCAGAUAACCCAGUGCAGGGAUUUGAAUGCCAAAGAAACGCGAGGAGGAGAGACAUCAAGGUGAGGAGGAGAUAAAACGUGCAGAGGAGAAGAGAGCGAGGGAGCUGUACAUCUCCCUAGAGCAGGAACAAAGGAGAAGAGAUGAUCACCACAUCAGGAGAGCUUCUGCAGGAGGCAUGCAAACGGACAGACUCAGCCACGGACUAUGGGAAAUCUUCCAAUGACCCCCUCAACACCUUGUCAGUUCACUGUGAACCCCUUUGUGCUCCCUGAGAUGUCACUUUGACCUCACCCCCUUGGAUUCACACAGAGGGAGCUCAAGAGCUCUUCAGACUCCAACCGGACCACAGGACUGUCCAUAGACAUCCAUUCCCCCAGUAGCAUCUCACAUGUCUCACCCCCAUCUGUAUAACAGGACUGUAUAACACAAAAGAUGAGUGAGCCAUUGAGAUAUAUAUCGUUUCUGCUUAGGGAGUUACACAAAUGAUUAGCAACAGUGCGAUUCAGGACAAGAUCCAGCUUUUAGGGAAAGAGCAGACUUGUGUACACAGGUAAGCAGACAGACACCCAGACACCGGAGGCAACAGGCAACCGAGGUGGAUUGAUAAAAGUGUCUAGCAUCUGUCAAAUACUCCAACUGACACAAAUUAUUUUUGAAUGCUAAGAUUAUCACUUUGUUCCUUAAGCAAAUUAAUGGUAAGAUGCUAAAUACAAUUAGACAAAACAAAGGUCUCAGGGAGUACUUCAGCUUUAACGUAGAGUCAUAGAGAACAUUGAACUUGUUUUUGUGCACUCAACCCUAUAGGGAAUCUGUUGUCAUCCUGACAGGGCUUUGUUCCUGGGCCAGACUGCAGUUGAAAGAGAGCAUUUGCAAAGAAAUCAAACUACGUAUAUCGAAUGAAUGCACAUCCUCCUCCCAUAGGUUAAAGCUACUAUGAGAAGGAAUUAAUCAUAAUGCAAACAGUGCAAUUAUUCACUGAGAUCCACCUUGAAUGAAUCUCUUGAAUGAAUGGUGCAAGUGCCCUCCUGUUCAGGAUAUAAGACUAUUGCUGCAGUAGCACUGACAGCUUUUUCCAUGCAAGUGAUAGCCUCACUGGUCCCGAGUGUGUAACCAGAGCUCCUCUUUUCCAACAGCCAGUAUCAUUCAGCAGUUAAGACAGCCAAUAGUUUUGUUAACAUCAUCAGCACACACCCC